GGAGGGUGCAAGCGUUAUCCGGAAUCAUUGGGUUUAAAGGGUCCGCAGGCGGGCAUAUAAGUCAGUGGUGAAAGUCUGUGGCUUAACCAUAGAAUUGCCAUUGAUACUGUACGUCUUGAAUUAUUGUGAAGUGGUUAGAAUAUGUAGUGUAGCGGUGAAAUGCUUAGAGAUUACAUAGAAUACCGAUUGCGAAGGCAGAUCACUAACAAUAUAUUGACGCUGAUGGACGAAAGCGUAGGUAGCGAACAGGAUUAGAUACCCUGGUAGUCUACGCCCGUAAACGAUGGAUACUAGUUGUUUGGUUUUCGGACUGAGUGACUAAGCGAAAGUGAUAAGUAUCCCCACCUGGGAGUACGUUCGCAAGAAUG
rnacentral:rRNA from 1 species